AUACGUAGGUGGCAAGCGUUGUCCGGAAUUAUUGGGCGUAAAGCGCGCGCAGGUGGUUCCUUAAGUCUGAUGUGAAAGCCCCCGGCUCAACCGGGGUGGGCCAUUGGAAACUGGGGAACUUGAGUGCAGAAGAGGAUAGUGGAAUUUCAAGUGUAGCGGUGAAAUGCGUAGAGAUUUGUAGGAACACCAGUGGCGAAGGCGACUGUCUGGUCUGUAACUGACACUGAGGCGCGAAAGCAUGGGGAGCAAACAGGAUUAGAUACCCUGGUAGUCCACGCCGUAAACGAUGAGUGCUAAGUGUUGGGGGGUUUCCGCCCCUCAGUGCUGCAGCUAACGCAUUAAGCACUCCGCCUGGGGAGUACGGUCGCAAGACUGAAACUCAAAUGAAUUGGCGGGG
rnacentral:rRNA from 1 species